CUUUUGUUCGUUUCUGUUUCCAACCGCACACAUACCGGAGGUCCGGAGCCGUUGCGACUCGACGAGACGCCGUCAGCAGCACACGCGUUUUUCGUGUAAAGACUCGUAUUGCGGAAAGUGGAUACUGAAAUAGUUUUACCUGCCGGACUUUUGGUGCUUGAUUGCGAUCUCUUCAUUAACUUAUUUACAAACUCAACAUGGAGGACGAGAGCAAAUAUCUCCCGCAGCUGCUGGCGGAGCGAGACAGCCUGGACUCGUCGUUCACACACGCCAUGAAACUUAUAUCCGCAGAAAUCGAGAGGGUUCAGAAAGGGGAGACCGAGAAAGAACCUGAAAGCUACCUGGACCUCUUCACAACAAAAAACAUCAAACUGAAGGAAAGGGUACUUAUACCGGUCAAACAGUACCCUAAGUUUAACUUUGUUGGGAAGAUCCUUGGACCACAGGGGAACACCAUAAAGAGACUGCAGGAGGAGACGGGUGCUAAGAUCUCAGUGCUUGGGAAAGGAUCCAUGAGGGACAAAACCAAGGAGGAAGGCUUGAGGAAAGGUGGAGAGCCAAAGUAUUCACAUUUGUCCAUGGAGCUUCAUGUGUUUAUUGAGGUUUUUGCUCCUGUUCCUGAGGCAUACAUGCGCAUGGCACACGCCAUGGAAGAGAUCAAAAAGUUCUUGUUUCCGGACAUGAUGGAUGAUAUUUGCCAGGAACAGUUCAUGGAGAUGAAGUUUCUAAACGGGGGUCAGGAACAUGGGGGCAGAGGACGAGGAGGUCCACCCGUCAGAGGCCGUGGAGCCCACCCGGCUUCAGGGGCACCCAGGGGUCGUGGUAUGCCCCUGCGUGGAGGUGCUCGUGGUGGCCCACCUCGAGGCGGAGCUGUUAGAGGAGCUCCUGCUGGGAGAGGCGGGCCACAAGCCCAGUCUGCCAGAGGAGCAGCUGCUACCCGUGCCCGUCCAGCUGCUUCUGCUCCACCUAGGAUGCCCCCUCCACCACCUUCCCACCCUCCGGCCCAAGAGACAUAUGAAGAAUAUUCUUAUGAUGAGAACUACACCGAGGCAGCCUAUGAACCCUACGACAGCUACUACAGUCAGCCGCAGGCAGAACCAGAAUACUAUGAUUAUGGCCAUGGAGAGACACAGGAAGGGUACGAAAGCUAUGCUCAAGAUGAUUGGAACGGAACACAGCGUGCUGCUGCCGGUGGAAAAGCUCCCACUCAGAGACAGACUAAGCCUGGGUACAGGGAACACCCCUAUGGACGAUACUAAAUCUGACUAGUGGAACGCCACCCAACAUGUCGCCAUGACAACUGUCGCCCAUGGCAGCUCACGCUUUAAGCUACCCGACAAAAGUAAUGGUGCCUGACAAUUCCAGGAAAUGGAAUCAGUUUGACAAGAAUGCGAGACCUCUGCUCUGGAAAAGUGUUUGUUCAAAGUAAGGGCACUCUUAACUCUGAACAUCAGCAGUCUUUAUGGGACCAAGGACAAUGGCAGUUCUCAGAAACCAGAGGUCUGAAGGACGUCUUCUGAGAAGAACGAAGUGGGUCUGUGCGCAGAAGGAAAUCAACGUUCUGGUCGACACAAGGCCCAAGCUUGAAUCAGGCCGAUAUGUGCAAUAGAAGUCUCUGUUAAUGUAUUCUAUAUGCGUCACCAGUUGUAUUGGAGGUGAAAGUUAAUUUCUUCGUGCCAGAAUGUUUCUGGCACUCUUUAGUGGUUACCUCAAGGUGUUUCUUAACACACUUAACUUGACAUUCUCAUCUUUAAAUUGACCUCUUAUGCUUUUGUUGGCCAAGAAAUCAUUUUAACAAGCUCUGAAAAUUCUGUCCAGGCUCUCCGGAUGUCCACCUCUGACAAUACUCCAGUGCUUUAUUCUGCAAGACAAGCAUGACUUCCCCGACACACUCGGUUCCUCACUCUGAGGAAUGUACAUGCUGAUUUGGCCAUAUCUUUUUGCACAGACUUUGUCCUUUUAAUUGCCAUGGUAAUUUUCACCCGACUCGUUAGAGGAGAUAUCUGUUUGAAUGGGCUUCUGUUGCUUUAGCUGUCUUGGAGUUUUAUAAUUUACAAUUGAAACUUGGGUCUUAAGCAAAAACAUGCUUGAGCUUUUGCAGUGUUGAUUUUCAUCUAAAUCAUGUUAUACAAUAGUUGGUUUCAGACCUCUGCUGUGGACUAUUGGUGUUCCAAGAGCACUGAUAUUUGGUCUAACAGCACUGGAACACUUCACUGUUUGUAUCACCCUGCUUUUCUGUGUUCCUAUUUUCGUUGGCGACCCAAAAUUUAGUGUCUAAAUUAUAAUUUACUCAACAUUUUGUUUAUAGAAUACUCUUGCUUGUGAUAUUGUUCAGUUAGCAUUUUUACCUUCUGGACAAAGGUCUGUCUUGCCCUAAAUGAGAGAUUUUCACAAAUAUUGCUUUUUCUAAUCCCUGCUAUGCAGUCUGACUUUUGAACCGAAUACAUUUGUGCAUGUGUACAUGUUGUUGUCAGAGUAUAUAAGUUGAGCUUCCCUGGAUCUUGAUCUUUUGCUCAUUUUUCCCCAGUGCAAGAAGGAUUCAGGCUUGUCAUUCUGACCAAUUACUGCUGAUGACAGCAUGUCCAUACCCACCGUAGAGCCGGCACUGGUUGCUGACUGGCUAACAGGACUCUGCCUUAUUGCAUUAGAGACACAUCAGUCCUCAGCACAGAUUUUAAUAAGCAUCAGGCACCGCUCAAGUGACAUCGAACAAUUGGAAAUGGGAGCAUGUGGGUAUAGGGUUGACCGAUGUGUGUACGGGCCUCAACAUAAUGAGAAAUUGCAAAAGCAGAUAAUGGAAAUAUUUAAUUUAUUUCCCUGACAUGCUGAGGGGCAAAUAGACUACAGAACUCUCUGGAAGAACAAAAUGUUCAAGCAAACUCUGCACUUAAUGGGUCUCUGUUUACAUGGUUAUGUGUCUGUUGGACAUGCCUGACCUACAGCUGCAGGGGACAUGCCUCUAUGGUAGCGUAAAAGGCAUAUGUGAUGGUCUGAAACAGUUGUGGUUUGGCAGCUCAUCAGUCCUAACACAUUCUGCAUGCCGAAAACAGAGCAUGUUUGCCUGAAUGCAAAUGUAUUACUUGCACCACGGUCCUGGUCUGUCAGUUUCUUGCAUGGUUAUUUUGUUAGUUUUGCACAACCAGUGCGUUCACUCCAGGGAGUCGGUGUAUUGAGUGCAUGGGGAGUGGCUCCAACAGUUCUAUGAUGGUUUCUGGCUCAAGUCCUGGAGAACCAUGGCUGCCGGCCACCUUUUUCAGCAUGAAAAUGCUUGUAAUAACCAAGCCUCUAAAAGGGCUCUCCCUCAAUGUAGUGUGACAAGGCUGAAUUGAAUGUCCAUGUGGAAUCUGGCUUGAGAAAUCUGUAGCCCUUCAGGACAAGAGUUGGACACCUCCACCUUGGCUGUCACAGUAGUAAUAUUCCAUUGCAUGUUGUCCAACAGCAAAUGCACCCAACACAAUGUGGGGAAAUUAUGGGAAUUUCUUGUGAUUGGAAAUGGAAUACAAGUGCCAGGAGCCUAUUCUUUUGUUUUCUUAAAGGGAUUGAUAGGCUUGGAGUUGCCAUGCAGCUAACUUUGAGUGUCUUUCAACACGGCAGUUGGUUUUUAUCUCAAUAGUAACAAACUAAGCCUUUGGGGGCUGAGAAACUGAUUGAUGACAUUGGGGAAUGGACAGAAUUUCAGUUAAUUUGCAAGUCAUUCAAACUUCUUGUCUCUGGAAGUUAGCACAUCUUCAGGCACAUUUGACCAAGUUCACACCCAGCCUGCAAAUGAAUUCAUCUGCCUCAAAGGGAAAUGCCUGAUGACUUCAAUGAUUUUUAUGUGGUUUUUACCAGUAAAUGAUGUUUGGCCCCUCAAAUAUUGUCAGAAAUAAAGAUAUUGAAU